CGGGGAUACACGUGAUGAUUUCAUAGUUCAGCUGAGUGCAUCUUUGAAGAGAUUUUGAUUUGUCUUUCGCUCCUAUCUGAUAUCCCUG
ensembl:snoRNA